UACGUAGGGACCAAGCGUUGUUCGGAUUUACUGGGCGUAAAGGGCGCGUAGGCGGCGUGGUAAGUCACUUGUGAAAUCUCUGAGCUUAACUCAGAACGGCCAAGUGAUGCUGCUGUGCUAGAGUGCAGAAGGGGCAAUCGGAAUUCUUGGUGUAGCGGUGAAAUGCGUAGAUAUCAAGAGGAACACCUGAGGUGAAGACGGGUUGCUGGGCUGACACUGACGCUGAGGCGCGAAAGCCAGGGGAGCAAACGGG
rnacentral:rRNA from 1 species